AAUGAAGAUGGUGGUUAGGGCACGCAAGUGUUGGGGCCUAGCACCAUGUUUGGAUCAUGCUUAAACUAUGUUACCUUGAGGCUUCUUGACCAGGUUGACAAUGAUGCCUUGACAAGGGGCCGUGCUUGGAUAAUAUCACGUGGAAGUGCAGCUGCAAUACCAUAGUGGGGCAAGAUAUAUGCUAUCAUUGAUGAUGUGUAAACAGGAAAGUUUUGCACCCAAAUGAUAUUGCUUGUAAUUUCCACAAAAUAUAUUCCUUGAACUUUAGCUAGCAUAUUUAUUUUUCUUAAUGUGUGUAGUGGUGGGUUAAUUUGCAUAUGAACAUUAGUGUGUACAGCUUCUCGGCUUCUCCUAUGUCAUUUGGAAGGCAUGUCCAUUUUGAAGUCCACAGGCUCUGGUACAUGGUGAAAAAAUAUAUAUGGAGCUAGGCCAAAAUUCUUAUAUUGCUGUGUUUUAUACUGCAUUCCACAUGCUCUCGUUCCUGGCAACAAUAUAUAUGGAUCUAGGCCAAGAUUUAGAUACAUGCUGUCUAGGUACUGCUCUCAUUUCCGCUAGAAGCAUUCUUGUUAUAGAUUUUGACUUGUAUUGUUCAUUUCAUUGUUUUUUACUGCCUUCGUAGCUGAAGGAUUACCGAGACUGUUUGGACUGAAUUCUGAAUAUAUAGCAUUUCUUUCGUCUGAGAGAAAUGGCAUAUUGAUUAAUUGGCUAAACCUUGAGAUAGGAGAUUUCCAACGAGGAAAAUUGAAGUAUUUUUGGUGUUAUCACUGAUCUGCAAAGACGGUGCCAACUCUAUGACAAUAAGGUGCUCCGUCCCCUAAUGGAGUAUUAUAUAACAAUCAAACUUGGUUUUGGUUGUUGCUCCUAUGGAUAAACAAAUGAAUAGUGUUCAUUUGCGUUUAAGGCAAUUACCGAAUGGGAAGUAGAUGUAUGUUGUUGUUCGUGCAUAGGCUUGUGAUUCAAUGUCUCACAGUUUGGGUAGAUCAAUUAUUCUCUCUUGUUCAUUGUAUGUUUGAUUGAAGUUACUUAAGUUGCUUCAUGGUUUAUGGAUAAGAAAUGAUUUGCAAAAAAACUGACUUGUUGAGGGAAUUUGGACCAUAUGCUGAAGAACCAUUUCAAUGAAAUACCCAUGCUGUUAUGAACAGGUUCUAAAAAACAGCCGUGGUGAAAAGUGUAGUUACAUAGGUAGCUUUCCACCAUUUAUAGUUUUCCUGGUUAUAAUCCAUUCUCAAUUCAAGUUUCUGUAACUGAAUAUGUUCAUUUGCAGUCACUUGAGAGGGUGUAUGACUGCAAGUUGCACAUUGGUCCUUGCACUACAAGGGGGAUGUAUGCCAUUACUCCAGGCUGGGAUUGCCGCAUGAAAGUAAGUCUUAUUCCCUUGUCACUCCUCUUGUGCUAGGUCGUUCUUGUGGUGGCGCUGGGCCGGAUGUGGAGGAGCAGCGAGGGACGGCGCUGGGCCGGAGGAGGAGGAGAAGCGAGGGCGGAGCUAGGCCGCAGGUGGAGGAGCAGCGAGCGGCUCUUGGGGUGGCGUUGGGUGAAGGAGGUGCUGGGCACAGGCCGACCAGUGCUGGCCGCCCUCCCUCGGCCAUGCCCUCGCCCAUCGCUGUCCUGGUCGCCUCUUCCCCAACCCUAUUCUAUAAGCAGAGCAAGUUCCCCCCAAGCAGCUUGCUUUACUCAUCAAAAAACAAGUACUCAAAUUGAUUUUAGAUCACGCUUGAGCAGUUUGUCCCCAAAUAAAAAAAUUACUGUUGAAAUGUAGUCAAGCCAGACCUUUUGUGAUUCUAAAGUAGUAGUCUGUUGUGGGUCAAAAUAAUUGGUAUUUUUUGCUUUGAUCAGUUUCAUUGCAGUCAAAAUAAUUGAUAUUUUUUUGGUGGUAAUAUGGAUGCACUUGCUGUUGCUGGUAUUGCCUAAUAAUACGACUAAUCAUGCACAUGUCAUCUUCAUCUGAUAUUAUGUCUUUCAUUUAUAUAUCUUUGAUUUGACCCUCCAUCUUUCAACGACUUUCUUAUGGAAUACUAAACCAAACUCAGUUUACUUUGAUGCUAAUUUAUUUAGCUCUUUGUUCCAUUGCAGGAGAUUAUCAACUCACUUUUUGUUUACAGGAAAAUUUAUUGAGACUCAAGAGUCAAGACAAAGGCAACAAAAUUUUGAAGUUGUGUUCUACCACUUCCCACAAUAAAUAAAAGAAACUAUAGAAAGAAGGUCAACUCAUUGUUCUUCAAUCUGUUCAAUUAAUGGAUCUUGGCUACGGCAUCUGGUGAUGCAACUAUUAAGUAUUUUACUUGUGAAAACUAUCAAGAAGCUUGCAUGAUUCCGACAACUUUUGCAGCUGUAGGGGCGAUGUCUUUCAGGUUGUGUGGAAUCCAAAUUUGGAGACUGUUGGCCUUUGAUGCUGCGGACAAAAGGGUGAUGAGAUGGGACGUUAGUAGGUCUUCAUAUAGACCAACAUUCAGCAUGUACAAUCUUACAUUGCAUUGGUGGAAUCUGGUUCGUUCGUUCCACCCUGUACAACUCCAUGACAGGUGGGACCAUCUACGUGCGGGACCCGACAGUGAGAGGCAGGCAGGUCUGCUCGUUCGGUCGCUUCCUUCGCAUGUCCGCAGACGAGAGGUGAAAACCUAGAUCGAACGAGCUCCCCAAUCCCGUGCGCUCGUCUCCACUCCUCUCCUCCCCAAUCCCGUGCGCUCCCAAGCCGCCGCCACGAUCGACCACGAGCCGCCACCGUCGUCGUGCCUUGCCCCUUCGGGCCUCCUCCUCUACGAGUCGAGGCGACGCGGGCGGGCGGCAGCGCGCCGCUUUGAGAAAGGCGUCCACGACCCUGGGGCUCGAGAUCUCCGGUCAAGGCGGCGCCUCUCUACCCUGGGGCUCGAGAUCUCCGGUCAAGGCGGCGCCUCUCUGUCCCAUUUCGCACCGCACGGUUGCAGAGCGAGGGCUCCCGAGCCGGAGGAGGCUCUGCAGGAACUCGCACAGAGAAGGGUAAGGGUGGCGGCGCGCCGCCUCGAGGAGGUCGCCCACAGCCGGCUGGGGCUCAAGAUCUCGUUCUCUGGCAGCAGCGGGAGUAGGGACUGGCUCCAAACCUCCCCCACCACCACGGCCACUGCUCAUGAGCGUCACAUCCCAACAUCAACGAGGAGUAUCUCUGAUUUUGGAAGCUAAUGGACUAGAGCUAAAAUAAUCUGUCAGUGCUUGGGAUCCUACUCAGAUUAGUAUAAUGCAUGAAGAAUGACCUUGCCAAGAACUCUGCCAAGGUUCACACAUGAUUGACACCCAAGAUCAUGGUUUUAUGACCUUGUUAUGGCGGAUGAUCUUUCAUGUACUACUGUUUAUAGUAAUAUCUCUUGAAACUCAACUGAAGGGGAAGAUCUGAAGGUGAUGCUGUUCUUUUAUUUGGAUAUGUCAACGUAUACCGAUUCAUCAAAUUAAAGCAAGGUCGCUGUUUUGUGCUGCGGAGGAGCGACAAGGGACAGGAAGGUAGGAUUUUGUUGCCAUUAUGCAGAUGCGCACUGACUUCUGAAACUCAUUAAUCUAGACACCUUGGUUCUGGAGCUUUUGUGAUGAAUGACAAAUGAGGUUUUGAUCGUUCGAUCAUGCUGGUAGUAGGCCAUUGCCCCUUCAAGCUAGCAAGAUGCUUGUUGUACGUCGAUGAAUAAGGGCGUCCAUCCAAGAUACUAAGAUGAAAAUUGUUGUGCAAUCACAAGGUAACGAAUGACUAACAAGACCAUCGUCUGCUGGUCAAAGAUUUAGACAUAGGACACAUAAUAUACCAUCUCUUAGGAUUCCGGUGAUCUCUAUCCAGGAUGCACUACACGUAUUUGAAAACUGAGAAUCAGGAACCUUGAUGAAAUUCAUCUCUGGAGUUUGCUUAAUUUGCUGAUGGUUCCAUGAACUUUCAAAGGACGGAGGUGCUUGGCUGGUUAUUUUUUGGUGAUGCCGGAGCCGCUAUUUCAGUAAACCAUUUGAUGUGCUAAAGAAUAAUAUGUAGAGAAGUCAUAUGUGUGAUGGGAAAAAAAUAGGCCAAUGAAGUGACUGAGCCAAAUUAAUAAUACCAUGUGGUUUUUCUUUUUAAGGCCAAUGAAGACUGCAAUGCUUCGUCUGCUCAAACCACAACCUCGGGGGAACCAGGAACUGAUUUUAGGCAGCCCGAUGGUCGUGGACCAUGAAAGAAGCUCAACCACGGGAUUACGAAGUUCAUGCCGCUCAAGAAGACCUUUGCGCUGCAAUCCAAGUUAGAACCGCGCAAUGGAGCAUUUGGGAAGAGCAGAACUCAUUUUCCAUUUCUCUAGCUCUGAAUUCAGGGUUCCAAAUCAAGGACUGCCCUCUUGUCCGUCGCAUGACGCGUCCAUUAUAGAUGCAAGUGGGGCAACAUUAGCCACUGCCGCGUUACUGUGCUAGAAGGAUAGCCUUAGUACAGUUACCUGAAAUUGGACUGAGGAUCGCUGCAGAGGCAAGGAUGCUUGGUCGAAGGGCUCUGAGGAGGACGUAGGAGGGUCAUCAAAGGGGUGGAAGGAGCCGGGAUGGGGUCAGAGGGAGUAGCCAAAGAAAGGUGGCGGGGCCGUCGAGGAUGUUUUCUCCAAUGCAUGCUGUUGGAAGCCGCUGGAGCUCAGCUUGGAUGGGCAGCCACUAUCCUCCCUUUACCAUAGCGGUGGAGGCGACGACGGGAGAGGCAGAGCUCCGCUCUGAGCCUCCGACGAUGUCGGUGAAGGCCUUUACCCUGGUCGCUUCGCUGUGUCUGACUGUUGUACCUAGGGGCCUGGCCGCCUAGGGGUGUGACUCGUUCCUACCAUUGGAUUCAAAUGGAUGGUGGCAAGUCACUAAAGCCCAGUCCCACAGAGAACAAUAUAUGACAUUCGUGUACCUAUAAAAAAGCAUGCCCAUCACGCAGGAACAUUUAGGUUGUUGUUUCGAUACCGAUCUUUCAGGGAUCCUAUUUUGCUAAGAAAGUUUUCUGGUGGGGUUUCUUUGGACAGUUUGAGAAAUUUGUGUAUACGAGUAAAACGUUUUAUAUAAAAAACCAGGAUCCUGCAUCGUGGGAUGUUUGUUAUUUU